rnacentral:rRNA from 1 species
CAGCCGCCACGGGAAUACAGAGGGUGCGAGCGUUAAUCGGAUUUACUGGGCGUAAAGCGUGUGUAGGUUGUUGUUCAAGUCAGUUGUGAAAUCCCUGGGCUCAACCUGGGAACUGCUUCUGAGACUGAACGACUAGAGUACGGUAGAGGGUGGUGGAAUUUCCGGUGUAGCGGUGAAAUGCGUAGAUAUCGGAAGGAACAUCAAUGGCGAAGGCAGCCACCUGGGCCUGUACUGACACUGAGACACGAAAGCGUGGGGAUCAAACAGGAUUAGAUACCCCGGUAGUCCCUGUCUCUUAUAC